AGAGUUUGAUCAUGGCUCAGGAUGAACGCUAGCUACAGGCUUAACACAUGCAAGUCGAGGGGCAGCAUAUCGAAAGCUUGCUUUUGAUGAUGGCGACCGGCGCACGGGUGAGUAACGCGUAUCCAACCUUCCCUAUACUAGAGGAUAGCCCGGCGAAAGUCGGAUUAAUACUCUAUGUUCUUCGUAGAAGACAUCUGAAAUGAAGCAAAGGUUUACCGGUAUAGGAUGGGGAUGCGUCUGAUUAGGUUGUUGGCGGGGUAACGGCCCACCAAGCCUACGAUCAGUAGGGGUUCUGAGAGGAAGGUCCCCCACAUUGGAACUGAGCCAUGAUCAAACUC
rnacentral:rRNA from 1 species